UUCCGGUUGAUCCUGCCGGAGGCCAUUGCUAUUGGAGUCCGAUUUAGCCAUGCUAGUUGUACGAGUUUAGACUCGUAGCAUAUAGCUCAGUAACACGUGGCCAAACUACCCUACAGACCGCAAUAACCUCGGGAAACUGAGGCCAAUGGCGGAUACAGCUUCCACGCUGGAACUGCAGGAAGCUGGAAACGCUCCGGCGCUGUAGGAUGUGGCUGCGGCCGAUUAGGUAGACGGUGGGGUAACGGCCCACCGUGCCAAUAAUCGGUACGGGUCGUGAGAGCGAGAGCCCGGAGACGGUAUCUGAGACAAGAUACCGGGCCCUACGGGGCGCAGCAGGCGCGAAACCUUUACACUGCACGACAGUGCGAUAGGGGGACUCCAAGUGCGAGGGCAUAUAGUCCUCGCUUUUGUACACCGUAAGGUGGUGUACGAAUAAGAACUGGGCAAGACCGGUGCCAGCCGCCGCGGU
rnacentral:rRNA from 1 species